GAGUAUGGGAGAGGGUGGUGGAAUUCAGGGGUAGCGGUGAAAUGCGUAGAGAUCUGGAGGAACAUCAGUGGCGAAGGCGACCACCUGGCUCAAUACUGUCGCUGAGGCACGAAAGCGUGGGGAGCAAGCAGGAUUAGAUACCCUGGUAGUGCACGCCCUAAACGAUGAAUACUAGAUGUUUGGUACCUAGCGUACUGAGUGUCGUAGCUAACGCGAUAAGUAUUUCGUCUGGGAAGUACGAGCGCAAGUUUAAAAUCCAAAGGAAUUGACGGGGGUCCGCACAACCGGUGGAGCAUGUGGUUUAAUUCGAUGCAGCGCGAAGAACCUUACCUGGGCUUGACAUGUCCGGAAUUUUGCAGAGAUGCGGGAGUGGCGUUCGGGGAAUCGGAACACAGGUGUUGCAUGGCUGUCUUCAGCUCGUGUCGUGAGAUGUUGGGUUAAGUUACUCAUCGAGCGCAAGGCUUGUCCUUAGCAGGCAGCGUGUUCGGCCGGGCUCUCUAGGGAGUCUGCCGGUGACAACACGGAGGAAGCUGGGGAUGACGUCAAGUCCUCAUGGUCUUUAUAUACAGGUAUACACACGUGCUACAAUGGCGCAUUCAGAGCGAACUCUACCAUCGUGUAGUACCACGGUUCAUAAAGCCAUUCGCAGUUUGAAUUCGAGGAUUUCACGCCAGAGCUAACAUUCCGAAUACGCAGUCUUUACGGACAGUGAUUCCGCGUAGCACUUGCAUCCGGCGUA
rnacentral:rRNA from 1 species